GACGAACGCUGGCGGCGUGCUUAACACAUGCAAGUCGAACGGAAAGGCCCUGCUUUUGUGGGGUGCUCGAGUGGCGAACGGGUGAGUAACACGUGAGUAACCUGCCCUUGACUUUGGGAUAACUUCAGGAAACUGGGGCUAAUACCGGAUAGGAGCUCCUGCUGCAUGGUGGGGGUUGGAAAGUUUCGGCGGUUGGGGAUGGACUCGCGGCUUAUCAGCUUGUUGGUGGGGUAGUGGCUUACCAAGGCUUUGACGGGUAGCCGGCCCGAGAGGGUGACCGGCCACAUUGGGACUGAGAUACGGCCCAGACUCCUACGGGAGGCAGCAGUGGGGAAUAUUGCACAAUGGGCGGAAGCCUGAUGCAGCAACGCCGCGUGCGGGAUGACGGCCUUCGGGUUGUAAACCGCUUUCGCCUGUGACGAAGCGUGAGUGACGGUAAUGGGUAAAGAAGCGCCGGCUAACUACGUG
rnacentral:rRNA from 1 species